UUUACGUUUUGUGCCGUGUUCCUUCUCUUCAAAUAUGGAAUGAUUUAUCCUUGUAAAUUUCUAAGUUACAGUGCACGCGCAUGUUAAUCGACGGUUGCCAACAUCCCGCAAAACGAUCGACAGAAGGAAAACGGUGUCCGGUUUUAAAAUAUAAAGAUUUCAUUACAGCUCUUUCGUAGAAGAGCGCACUUCAAGGACGCCUAGGAUACGGCUAAACAUGCGCAGCACCAGUCCGUGACGUCAUUUCCAGACAGGCGCCGGCUGAACACGCGCAGCACCAGUCGAGGAUAUCCUAGCGCAGAGGGUAGAAGGAAGAACGAGAGGAAGGGUAAUAGAAAGCAACCGCAGCAUUUGGAAGGGGUGAAGCAUCCUGCCGUAUACAGA